UACCUACGGGGGGCAGCAGUGAGGAAUAUUGGUCAAUGGGCGCGAGCCUGAACCAGCCAAGUCGCGUGAGGGAAGACGGUCCUAUGGAUUGUAAACCUCUUUUGUCGGGGAGCAAAAGACGCCACGUGUGGCGUUCCGAGAGUACCCGAAGAAAAAGCAUCGGCUAACUCCGUGCCAGCAGCCGCGGUAAUACGUAGGUGGCAAGCGUUGUCCGGAUUUACUGGGUGUAAAGGGCGUGCAGCCGGGCUGACAAGUCAGAUGUGAAAUCCCGCGGCUCAACCGCGGAACUGCAUUUGAAACUGUCA
rnacentral:rRNA from 1 species